rnacentral:rRNA from 1 species
UUGUAUGUACUUUACGAAUAAGGAUCGGCUAACUCCGUGCCAGCAGCCGCGGUAAUACGGAGGAUCCGAGCGUUAUCCGGAUUUAUUGGGUUUAAAGGGUGCGUAGGCGGACCUGUAAGUCAGUGGUGAAAGUUUGCAGCUCAACUGUAAAAUUGCCAUUGAAACUAUUGGUCUUGAGUGUAAAUGAGGUAGGCGGAAUGUGUUGUGUAGCGGUGAAAUGCUUAGAUAUAAUACAGAACACCAAUUGCGAAGGCAGCUUACUAGGAUACAACUGACGCUGAGGCACGAAAGCGUGGGGAUCAAACAGGAUUAGAUACCCUGGUAGUCCACGCAGUAAACGAUGAAUACUAGCUGUAUGCGAUAUACUGUAUGUGGCAAAGCGAAAGCGUUAAGUAUUCCACCUGGGGAGUACGUUCGCAAGAAUG